GAUGAAGAACGCAGCGAAAUGCGAUAAGUAAUGUGAAUUGCAGAAUUCAGUGAAUCAUCGAAUCUUUGAACGCACAUUGCGCCCCCUGGUAUUCCGGGGGGCAUGCCUGUCCGAGCGUCAUUGCUGCCCUCAAGCACGGCUUGUGUGUUGGGCCUCCGUCCUCCUCCCGGGGGACGGGCCCGAAAGGCAGCGGCGGCACCGCGUCCGGUCCUCGAGCGUAUGGGGCUUCGUCACCCGCUCUUGUAGGCCCGGCCGGCGCUUGCCGACACAUCAAUCUUUUUUCCAGGUUGACCUCGGAUCAGGUAGGGAUACCCGCAGAACUUAAGCAUAUCAAUAAGCGGAGGA
rnacentral:misc_RNA from 1 species